UACGUAGGUGGCAAGCGUUGUCCGGAUUUACUGGGCGUAAAGGGCGCGCAGGCGGUCGUCCAAGUCGCGUGUGAAAGCCCCCGGCUCAACUGGGGAGGGUCACGCGAUACUGGUCGACUCGAAGGCAGGAGAGGGUAGUGGAAUUCCCGGUGUAGUGGUGAAAUGCGUAGAUAUCGGGAGGAACACCAGUGGCGAAGGCGGCGACCUGGGUGGAUACUGACGCUGAGGCGCGAAAGCGUGGGGAGCAAACAGG
rnacentral:rRNA from 1 species